rnacentral:rRNA from 1 species
AUUGAACGCUGGCGGCAGGCCUAACACAUGCAAGUCGAGCGGUAGCACAGGAGAGCUUGCUCUCUGGGUGACGAGCGGCGGACGGGUGAGUAAUGUCUGGGAAACUGCCUGAUGGAGGGGGAUAACUACUGGAAACGGUAGCUAAUACCGCAUAACGUCGCAAGACCAAAGAGGGGGACCUUCGGGCCUCUUGCCAUCAGAUGUGCCCAGAUGGGAUUAGCUAGUAGGUGGGGUAACGGCUCACCUAGGCGACGAUCCCUAGCUGGUCUGAGGGGAUGACCAGCCACACUGGAACUGAGACACGGUCCAGACUCCUACGGGAGGCAGCAGUGGGGAAUAUUGCACAAUGGGCGAAAGCCUGAUGCAGCCAUGCCGCGUGUAUGAAGAAGGCCUUCGGGUUGUAAAGUACUCUCAGCGGGGAGGAAGGUGCUGAGGUUAAUAACCUCAGCAAUUGACGUUACCCGCAGAAGAAGCACCGGCUAACUCCGUGCCAGCCGCCGCGGUAAUAC